rnacentral:rRNA from 1 species
AGCGAACGCUGGCGGCAGGCCUAACACAUGCAAGUCGAACGGACCCUUCGGGGUUAGUGGCGGACGGGUGAGUAACACGUGGGAACGUGCCUUUAGGUUCGGAAUAGCUCCUGGAAACGGGUGGUAAUGCCGAAUGUGCCCUUCGGGGGAAAGAUUUAUCGCCUUUAGAGCGGCCCGCGUCUGAUUAGCUAGUUGGUGAGGUAAUGGCUCACCAAGGCGACGAUCAGUAGCUGGUCUGAGAGGAUGACCAGCCACAUUGGGACUGGGACACGGCCCAAACUCCUACGGGAGGCAGCAGUGGGGAAUCUUGCGCAGUGGGCGAAAGCCUGACGCAGCCAUGCCGCGUGGAUGAUGAAGGUCUUAGGAUUGUAAAAUCCUUUCACCGGUGAAGAUAAUGACUGUAGCCGGAGAAGAAGCCCCGGCUAACUUCGUGCCAGCCGCCGCCGUAA